GGAAAUGUAGAAUGGUUCAUUAAUGGCUGAGGGGAAGGUGACAACGAGGAAUACAACAGUAAAACUAAUCAGGAGGGCAGUGGAACUAGUCGGAGAACAAGGAUGGGGGAGGGAUGGAGAGAGAGGGAAAGCAAGGGCUACUUGAAGUUAGAGAAGUCAAUGUUCAUACC